rnacentral:rRNA from 1 species
AAUCUUCCGCAAUGGACGAAAGUCUGACGGAGCAACGCCGCGUGAGUGAUGAAGGUCUUCGGAUCGUAAAACUCUGUUGUUAGGGAAGAACAAGUAUCGUUCGAAUAUGCCGGUACUUUGACGGUACCUAACCAGAAAGCCCCGGCUAACUACGUGCCAGCAGCCGCGGUAAUACGUACGGGGCAAGCGUUGUCCGGAAUUAUUGGGCGUAAAAGGCACGCAGGCGGUUAUUUAAGUCUGACGUGAAAUCUUGUGGCUUAACCACAAGCGGUCAUUGGAAACUGGAUAACUUGAGUACAGAAGAGGAGAGUGGAAUUCCACGUGUAGCGGUGAAAUGCGUAGAGAUGUGGAGGAACACCAGUGGCGAAGGCGGCUCUCUGGUCUGUAACUGACGCUGAGGUGCGAAAGCGUGGGUAGCGAACA